AUUGAACGCUGGCGGCAUGCCUAACACAUGCAAGUCGAGCGGAGUGGCGGACGGGUGAGUAAUGCCUAGGAAUCUGCCUGGUAGUGGGGGAUAACGUCCGGAAACGGGCGCUAAUACCGCAUACUAUCAGAUGAGCCUAGGUCGGAUUAGCUAGUUGGUGGGGUAACGGCAUACCAAGGCGACGAUCCGUAACUGGUAUGAGAGGAUGAUCAGUCACACGGGAACUUAGACACGGUCCAGACUCCUACGGGAGGCAGCAGUGGGGAAUAUGGGACAAUGGGGGAAAGCCUGAUCCAGCCAUGCCGCGUGUGUGAAGAAGGCCUUCGGGUUGUAAAGCACUUUCAGCGGGGAGGCGUUACCCGCAGAAGAAGCACCGGCUAACUCCGUGCCAGCAGCCGCGGUAAUAC
rnacentral:rRNA from 1 species